rnacentral:tmRNA from 1 species
GGGGCCGUUUUGGAUUUGACAGGGUGGAGCUAAGUAUGUUAGCAUGCAGUGCGUUGUACGGUGAGCACUUAAAAGAGAACGUUCAAACUAUAAUUGGCGAAAAUAACUACGCCUUAGCUGCCUAAUUUAGAAUUAGCAUAGCUUUUGUCCCUCUGACUGCUGCAUCGUUAGGUUAGAAUCAGGGGCAUCAUAAUAACGAAGCUGGAUCAUUCAAGGUAUGGGAAUGAUUGAGAUAAAGUACCUAAGGAAUUAGAUUAGGUCGGUUUUCAGCCCGUUUAAUUCCCGACAAUAAAUUGAAAAAUAAGCAUGUAGAAAGCGUGAUUUAUCACACAACCGGACAAGGGUUCGAACCCCUUCGGCUCCACAA